rnacentral:RNase_P_RNA from 1 species
UUAAUUAUUUUGAUGAUCGCCCCGUUUUCAUACUAUAAUGACUACGGGGAGGAAAGUCCGAACACCAUUCGUGAGCAGUCGAUAACGUCGACCGUCGAGCUAAGCUCGACAGGACAAGUGCAACAGAAAGUAUACCGCCCUGUACCAUAUGGUGCAGGGUAAGGGUGAAAACGUGAGGUAAGAGCUCACGCGUUCAUGCAGUGAUGCAUGACAGUGUAAACUCUGCUCGGUGCAAGGCCAAGUAGGCCCACGGCGAAAGUCGGGGCGGGUAGGCCGCUUGAUCCUGGCGGCAACGUCAGGACUAGAUAGAUGAUCAUCGCCCGCGAGGGCACAGAAUUCGGCUUAUAGAAUAGUUAAAGCA